UACGUAGGGUGCAAGCGUUGUCCGGAAUUAUUGGGCGUAAAGAGCUCGUAGGCGGUCUGUCGCGUCGGAUGUGAAAAUCCAGGGCUUAACCCUGGACCUGCAUUCGAUACGGGCAGACUAGAGUUCGGUAGGGGAGACUGGAAUUCCUGGUGUAGCGGUGAAAUGCGCAGAUAUCAGGAGGAACACCGGUGGCGAAGGCGGGUCUCUGGGCAGUAACUGACGCUGAGGAGCGAAAGCGUGGGGAGCGAACAGG
rnacentral:rRNA from 1 species